GGCCAGGACGGUCUCAAUCUCCUGACUUCGUGAUCCGCCCGCCUGGCCAACGUACUUAUUUUUUAGUUUUUAGGUAUUUGUACCUAGAAUGUAUGGUCUUUCUAAAACAUCAGCUUUUCUCAGAGCUUUAUAGUCGGUACGUUUAAGUUCCUAUGGCUUCCCUUUCAGACUUUCGCUAAAGCCAAAGCCCUCAUUGGCAGUUACCCCUCCAUUCUCAUCAAGACCUGCAAGUCCUUUCUCAUUUCCCUGAAGCUCUUUGGGUAACCUGAUGCCCAACAUU
rnacentral:lncRNA from 1 species